ensembl:lncRNA novel transcript
GGGCACCCGGCGUGACCGGCCCAUGGGCGCUCGGUCUCACGCCCGCUUCGCAGAGCUCACCCCGCCAGCUCCUGCUCGGUCCCCAGUCCCCUGCCCCGAGCCCUCAGGGAUCGCACCGCAGUGCGAGCGGCUCUUCCACCCUCUGGUUUCUCCCCGUUUCCGGUCAAUAUAUUUAAACUUCUUAACAACCACGGCUUCGAGACGAUCCAGGGUUUCAUCUAUUAAAUCCUCCGUGGGCCUGAGACACCUGAGUGCUCAUUACUCUGUGGUUUGGGAAGCUCUCUUAAGAACAAGCUGUUAAAAACCCCCACUUGUGGACUGUGUCCCCGCUGGCCACAGGCCUGCUGUGGUCUUGGGUGUCAAGCACUAAAAGGACAAACCGUUGCCAACCACUUCCCUUUCUGGAACCUCUUAACUGCCUGCACCUCCCUCCCCGCUUUGUCUCCCAGUGGCAUUCAACAAGACUCUGUGCUUUUUUUGUGCUGAGCCGUUUUCAGUGAGUACUGGAAUCCGUGUGAGAGCUGUGCCCUUGUUUUGAGUUCUUGCUGAACUGCUCGCCCUCCAGCAAGCCUCUCGGGAGAACAGAGCGCAGCUGAGAGGAGCAGGGGUCCCAGCUCCUUCCUCGUUGGAGCUGCCACGGAGGCACCUAAAGCGCCCCCAGUCUUCACCAGCAUUCCAGGAGGUUUUUGAUAUAAACGGUGGACUCUUCCUCAGUCUUUCUGCGAAGUGCUCUGCAAACUCAACUUGAAAGCCUCUCUUCCCAGGAACACUGGCCUCUCCAAUGCAGACAUGGAAGUUGCUUUCACUUUUUAACUGAAUGUGUAACAUUGCAGCGUGCAUUAUUCUGCAUGUCA